rnacentral:rRNA from 1 species
CCUACGGGCGGCUGCAGUGAGGAAUAUUGGUCAAUGGCCGGGAGGCUGAACCAGCCAAGUCGCGUGAGGGAAGACGGCCCUAAGGGUUGUAAACCUCUUUUGUCAGGGAGCAAGGUGCAGGUCGGGACCUGCUGUGAGAGUACCUGAAGAAAAAGCAUCGGCUAACUCCGUGCCAGCAGCCGCGGUAAUACGGAGGAUGCGAGCGUUAUCCGGAUUUAUUGGGUUUAAAGGGUGCGUAGGCGGAGGGACAAGUCAGCGGUAAAAUCGCGGGGCUCAACCCCGCCCCGCCGUUGAAACUGUGUGCCUUGAGUGCGCGAAGGGUAGGCGGAAUGCGUGGUGUAGCGGUGAAAUGCGUAGAUAUCACGCAGAACUCCGAUCGCGAAGGCAGCCUACCGGCGCGCAACUGACGCUCAUGCACGAAAGCGUGGGUAUCGAACAGGAUUAGAUACCCGGGUAGUC